GAUGAACGCUGGCGGCGUGCCUAAUACAUGCAAGUCGAGCGAACAGACGAGGAGCUUGCUCCCCUGACGUUAGCGGCGGACGGGUGAGUAACACGUGGAUAACCUACCUAUAAGACUGGGAUAACUUCGGGAAACCGGAGCUAAUACCGGAUCAUAUAUUGAACCGCUUGGUUCAAUAGUGAAUGACGGUUUUGCUGUCACUUAUAGAUGGAUCCGCGCCGCAUUAGCUAGUUGGUAAGGUAACGGCUUACCAAGGCAACGAUGCGUAGCCGACCUGAGAGGGUGAUCGGCCACACUGGAACUGAGACACGGUCCAGACUCCUACGGGAGGCAGCAGUAGGGAAUCUUCCGCAAUGGGCGAAAGCUUGACGGAGCAACGCCGCGUGAGUGAUGAAGGUCUUCGGAUCGUAAAACUCUGUUAUUAGGAAAGAACAAAUGUGUAAGUAACUAUGCACGUCUUGACGGUACCUAAUCAGAAAGCCACGGCUAACUACGUG
rnacentral:rRNA from 1 species